UCUGGGUGUGGUUGUGCACACCUGUAGUCCCAGUUACCAGGAGGCUGAGGUGGGAGGAUCUCUUGAGCCCAGGAGUUUGAGGCUGCAGUGAGCUACGAUCAUGCCACUGCACUCCAGUCUGGGCAACAGAGCAAGAUUCUGUCUCUU
rnacentral:sRNA from 1 species